AGAGGAAGUAAAAGUCGUAACAAGGUUUCCGUAGGUGAACCUGCGGAAGGAUCAUUACUGAAUUUAUGACAAGGUUGUAGCUGGCCCUAUCCGGGCAUGUGCACGCCUUGCUCAUUCCAAUUCUUACACCUCUGUGCACUUAACAUGGGCUGGUCGUAGGCUUUUGUCUUGCUUCACUGUGAGACGGGCUUUGACCUGCCUGUGGUUACUCUACAAACACUUUAAAGUAUUAGAAUGUAACAUCGCGGAUAAUAAACGCAUCUUAUACAACUUUCAGCAACGGAUCUCUUGGCUCUCGCAUCGAUGAAGAACGCAGCGAAAUGCGAUAAGUAAUGUGAAUUGCAGAAUUCAGUGAAUCAUCGAAUCUUUGAACGCACCUUGCGCUCCUUGGUAUUCCGAGGAGCAUGCCUGUUUGAGUGUCAUGGUAUUCUCAAUUCUCUAAAUCUUUGCGGAUUUGGAUGAAUUGGAUGUGGAGGUUUAUUGCUGGCGACUAUCCUUCUGGAUCUGUGUCCGGCUCCUCUGAAAUAAAGUAGCAGGAAUGUUGCCGUGCCAACCUCAGUGUGAUAAUUAUCUGCGCUGUUGUUGCUCAGCAAAAUAUAUGUUCUUGCUUCUAAUCGUCUUCGGACAAUUUCUUGACAUCUGACCUCAAAUCAGGUAGGACUACCCGCUGAACUUAAGCAUAUCAAUA
rnacentral:rRNA from 1 species